rnacentral:rRNA from 1 species
ACGGAAGGCAGCAGUGGGGAAUAUUGGUCAAUGGGGGCAACCCUGAACCAGCAACGCCGCGUGAAGGAAGAAGGCUUUCGGGUUGUAAACUUCUUUUAAGUGGGACGACAAUGACGGUACCACUUGAAUAAGCUCCGGCUAACUACGUGCCAGCAGCCGCGGUAAUACGUAGGGAGCAAGCGUUAUCCGGAUUUACUGGGUGUAAAGGGCGUGUAGGCGGGACAUCAAGUCAGAUGUGAAAGCACGAGGCUCAACUUCGUGUCUGCAGUUGAAACUGACGUUCUUGAGUGUUGGAGAGGCUAACGGAACUCCUAGUGUAGCGGUGAAAUGCGUAGAUAUUAGGAAGAACACCAGUGGCGAAGGUGGUUAGCUGGACAAUAACUGACGCUGAGGCGCGAAAGCGUGGGUAGCAAACAGGAUUAGAUACCCUGGUA